UUUAGUUGAUCUGGGAGGAUGGUGAGCCACAUUGGGAUAGAAACAGGGCCCAACUUUCUACUAAGUAGCAGCAGUGGGGAAUCUUGGACACUAAGCUAACGCUUGAUCCAGCAAUGUCACGUGAAGGAUGAAGGUUUAAUUAUCGUAAACUUUUGCUCAUUAUUAGAAUAACGAUCUUUUAAUGAGAAGCUCCGACUAACUUCGUGCCAGCAGUCGCGGUAAAACGGGGGGAGCUAGCGUUACUCGUAAUAAUUGGGCGUAAAGGGUACGUAGGCGGUUUUGAUUGAUAUGUGAUUUUAAAAGAGAACGGGUUCAACCUUUCGAAAACACAUCUGAUUAUAAAACUAGAGUUUAGUGGAGGAUUGUUGAACUGCUAGUUUAAAAGUUAAAAUUUGUUAGAUUAGUCGGGCAACCUGCGGUGUAAACUACUUUCCAUAGUAAAACUGACGUUCAUGUACAAAAAGUAUGGGGAUUAAAUAGGAUUAGUAGACCCUAGUAGUCCAUACCCUGACCUAUGAGUGUUAAAUGGGAGAUAAAAUUACUUAACAUCGUUCGUGUUUCAGCUAACGACGG
rnacentral:rRNA from 1 species